UGCUCUUCAGAUCUGAAAAAUAAUGCAACUGGAUUAGAAAAUUUCUGAUCUCUCCUUGGUUUAAGAGAAACUGAAGACCCUAGACCAGUGUUUGAGUGUUGAAAGCAAGUUUUGUGGCCGAAGGGGAACCCAACACUGGGCAGACAGCAGGCUCCGAGGGACACAGCUCAGUCGAGGGGACAGACAGGUAUUCAAGAGCUGAAAACCACUGUGGUGUUAGUCAAGGACCUACAGAGAAACAGACCCCACCUGCUGUAUAUAUAUGUAUAUAUAGGUAUACAGAGAGAAGAAUUUAUUUAAGGAGUUGACGCGCAUGCUUGUGGGGGCUGGCAAAUCCAAAUUCUGCAGGACA